rnacentral:lncRNA from 1 species
ACCAUCACCAUCCAUCUCCCAAACUUUUUCAUCUUCACCAGCUGAACCUCUGAGCUCAUUAAACAGCUUCUCACUUUCCCCUCUCCCAGCCCCUGGCAACCGCCAUUCUACCUUCCAUCUCUAUGAAUUUGACUACUUUAGGUACCUCAUAUAAGCAGAUCAUACAAAAUUUGUCUUUUUGUGUCUGGCUUAUUUCACUUGGCAUAAUGUCAAGAUUCGUCCAUCUUGUGGAAUUUCCUUCCCUCCCUAUCUCAAGAUGUUGCAUUCCCAGCACACAUUCUACAGUUAUUCUGAGAACAAGAAGAGGGAAAAAGCUUGGUUGGCCAAGGCUGUCUGAGGACCGUCUUGUAAUAUCCAGAAGUGGAACUACUGGAUCACAAGGAAAUAAAUGUGUGGAUGCAGAACCAGUGAACAACUUCUGUGUUUCUGAAUAAAACUGCUGUGGCUUCCCAGAUGAAGGAAGGAGAUUUCUGAGUUGCAAGAGGCCAUCUAUGAAGGCAGAAGCCCAGGGGCCCUACAGUUCCUUUACUUCUUCCCUUUUCACUGGUAAAGAAACUAUUCAUGAUGAUCUUAGAGCCAGAGUCAUUGUUGGUUGAGAUUGAUAAAUUUAUUUUUAGACUGCCAUCCUGGGAUGGAAACCAUGCCUUAGGGGAGGCAUUAGUAAUCAGGUGGAUGGUGUUUCCAGGAUGAGGUAUCAUUUCUUAAAGAGAUACUUCUUGGGCAAUUAUUACAGCUUUCCCUUCAUAGAAAAACUCUGAUUAAAUGCUUGAUGCUAUAUAUAGUGUCUCUGUGUUUAUAAAUCCCUAACUUAAAAGUCUAAGCUACCUGUGUGUCCUACAUUCAACCCCAAAUCAAAAUGCCCAAAAUUUACCAUCAAAGAUGGUUGCAAAAGAAUGUUCACUGUUGGGAUAUUAAUUAUACUGAAAACAAUAACACUGCCAAUGUUAGGGAGUUGGUUCGAUUAAUUAUUGUAUGUUUACAAAAUGGAAUAGUAUGUAGUUAUAUAUGAAGUAAAUAAAUAUUUUUUGAUGUAGAGAGAUAUACGUGAUAGAUAGCUAAGUAAACAAAAUGAGGUUAUACAGUAGCAUUACAGUAUGAUCCACUUACAUGUCUAUGAAGAAAUUACUGUUCAAAAACGAAUAUCAGAAACAAAAUUUAUUGUAGGAAGAGAAUUGCUCUUUUAUUAGAGAAAAAUACUUUAGUUUGUCCUAUGUUAAAGAAGGUAUCACCUUCCCUACCCCAUGCUACCACUAUAUCUAGGUAGUAGCUGGUAAGAUGAAGAAUGGCUAAAGUUCUUCCUAGUAAUAAAACAAAUGAAGUCGGAAACAACAUGGGAAAAUAAUUUUCAAAAAUAUUACAAGUCACUUUUUUAUUGCUGUGUCUGUCAGGCUUGAACUUCCUUAUAUGGUGGCUGCCUGUUGGAAUCAUUCUCAUGACAUCACAGCAUCCACCCAGUACUUCACAGGUACAAAGAACAUUCACACCAUUUGAAGUGUUGAUUCUCAAAACUUCCAAUAAGAUGGGUGGAAGAAAACACUCUUAUUGUUAUCAUUUGGUAAAUGAAAACAUCAAAUCAGAGAGUUACAAUGACAUACUCCAAAUCUCAGAGAUAAUAGCUUCUGAAGAUUAUUUGUGUAUGUCUUAGAUUUAACAACUCAGUUGUAUUGGUGCCAGGGCUGAUCCGACAUGAAUGAAUUAGUUUUCAUUAUCCAGACUCACAGAAGACUCAUUUAUAAACCUAAAGAUCAAUUUUCAAAAGUUUUAUGUAUUGGAUAUAUCUUUCAAGAUUCAGAACACUUGGUUGACCUAUGCACAGUAACACUUUUUUAGUACCAAGAUAAUUGACAAAUAGAAUUAGUUCAUUUAUUUACUCAUUCAAAAAUGUGUUUAUCAACUACCUACUUUAUGCUGAAUUCUAUUAUAGAGGCUGACUCUUGAGUGAUGUACAAAAAUAUAUAAUCUUUAUUUCCAUGGAGCUUAUGAUUUAAUACAGGAAGACAGAUAUUAAAAAUUGUGUUAAGUGCCUCAAAUAAAAUUUAUAGGGUGUAUAAGCAAAUAAAAUAGGGUAAAUACUUAUACUGGACUUGUAGUGGUUAGAAUUCUUUAUUGCAAGUGACAGAAACUCAAAUUAGCUUAAGUUAAAAAAAAGAGAAAAUGUAAGAGAGAAUGUAAUGACUCUUUUGGUCUCAGUUUUCUAGAAAUCAGAGUCUGAGACAGGGAUUAAAUUGUUGACACUUUAUUUGGAAUGCAAAUACUCAAGUCAACACAGGCAAAAAAGAGGGGAAGUGAGAAAAGUGGAGAUGUGGAGCAUUGUCAUGCUGGUCUUGAUCAUAUCAAGUCAUGAAGAAACACAGCAAGGGCACAAAAACAGGUGCACCACUUAUCUGGAAAGUCUUCUCUGUAGAGGUUGCAAUGAAGUCAUGCCACAGAGCAUUCCAUGAGAAUGAGGAAGAACAGAGAAUCUGUCUCCUCCCCCAACAGCCUGUGUUGUGGUGUUUAAUCCAAACACUAGAAUGUUUAAUGAACAUAGAAUCAGAGUAAAGGGCUUAUAAUAAGUCACUGGGGCUGUGGUAGCUCUUUGUCCCUUCUCCCCUAUACAGGCAUUCUUAACUCUCGUUAUGCUGUGGCACACUGAACCAUGUGAGAUAUUGAUUCCCUGGGCCUUCAGUUCAUUGAGAUGUUGCCUGAGACUGCUGAAAUCCCUGGACCAUUAAUCUUAUACUACAGAAUCCUCCCUUGGGCCUUUGGAUGCCCCCCACUUUAUACCAGAUUGCCCAAAAAUUAUUAUUGUGAUAUGAAAAACUUUGGGAAGCACUGACUGGAAGUACAUACUUUUGGUACUUUGUCCUUUGUGAGCUAAGAGGGGUGUUUCUCCUCCACAGAUUGUGUUGGAGACACAUGGACACAUGUUUGACUUCUGAUUCUAGUGCAGGCAGAUUCUCUAAGGCUGAAGCAGGCUGGAGUUAAGUGACCUGAGGGUGUGUAUCAAUGCUGGUCAUCAGAAUCUGGAGGCAGCAGAUUUUUAAAAAUGUGUUGGAAUGUGUUGGUCUUCUUGGAAGCUCAGGGAGACUAAUUUGCUCUCUUCUUUUUUUUCAUCUUCUACCUGCUAUAUUCCUUUGCCCAUCCCUGCCACAUCCAAUUAAUUGAGAAAAACUUCUCUAGUUAUAGUGAGCUUUGGUGCCUGAUUGGAGCAGAUGAUAUCCAUCAAAAGUUUUAGAGAGAAAUGAUGGCUAAGCAUCAUUAAUGAUUAAUCUUACUUUUAAAGUUCUCCUUUUAUAUCAUAGUUUCCAAGGUGAUAGCUCACUGAUUGCCACCUUAUUACUUUCUACUCCUUGUUGGGAAUUGGGAGCUACCAAGACUUAUCAAAACAAAUCUAUAAAUAAUUCUUUUGGAUGGGUUACUCCUGUCGGGAAGAACUAGGCCAUGGCAUAUUCCCUCUAUCAUUUGUUGAAUCAGUUUUGCGGUACUUUAUUUUUCUUUAAAUCCUGUGGCUGCAUCCUAUGUGUACAGCUUCCAAAAUGAUUUUGGCUAUAAAUCAGAUGUAAUGUUUAUGAUACCCUCUGUUACCUCAUGUCACAGUGCACUGUUUCAAACAUCUUGGUAGAUUUUGACAUUUAUUUUCCUCUUAGGGGUAUAUUUCUAAAAUGGGAUUACUGAGUCAGAAAGAAUUUGAACAGAUCUUAUCAUAUAUUGUGAAAUUAUUUUUCUAAAAAAAACUGUCAUUUUUCAAUGUCAUGAGCAAUAUACUUAUUUCCAAAUAACCUACUACAAUUGCGUUUUAUCCUUUAUGCUUACUUUUGUUAAUUUAACUACAUUGUGCCCAG